GACACGCUGGCGGCGUGCCUAACACAUGCAAGUCGAGCGGAGUCGAUCGACGGAAGCCUUCGGGCGGAAGAUGGUUGACUUAGCGGCGGAUGGGUGAGUAACGCUGGGCAACCUGCCUCGAAGACCGGGAUAACAGCCCGAAAGGGCUGCUAAUACCGGAUGUGGUCAAGGAUCCGCAUGGAUUUUUGAUUAAAGGGGAAACCCGUUUCGAGAUGGGCCCGCGUCCUAUCAGCUAGUUGGUGAGGUAAAAGCUCACCAAGGCGACGACGGGUAGCCGGCCUGAGAGGGUGACCGGCCACACUGGAACUGAGACACGGUCCAGACUCCUACGGGGGGCAGCAGUGGGGAAUCUUCCACAAUGGGCGAAAGCCUGAUGGAGCGACGCCGCGUGAGCGAAGAAGGCCUUCGGGUUGUAAAGCUCUGUCUGGAGGGACGAAGGAAGUGACGGUACCUCCGGAGGAAGCCACGGCUAACUACGUG
rnacentral:rRNA from 1 species